rnacentral:lncRNA from 1 species
GCUGUGUGUGCCACCUCGUCCCAAGACAGUCUGUCUCUGCAGGAGACAAUCUCUACCUCCAGGAAGCUCCCUGGCUCCAGCGCCAUGCAGCAGAGCGGAUCUGAGAGCUUCACCAGGGCAGUCUCUCCACUGUCCCGGGCCCACACGGAGGUCAGCUGAGAGAACCACUUACCACAGGACUGUCCAUCCGUCGACCAGAUUUCCUCCUAGGGGUCUGUCCCUGGAGACUCAGAGGGUCAGCAGAGGGUGCAGAAACUGAGCCACAUGGGAACCACUGUGCGAGGAAGCCUCGAGGUGGGGAGAGCCCAAGUGCAAAGCAAGUAGAGAGGAGUAGCGGCAGCAUCUGCAGAAGAAAGGAGAGGUGGCUGCUGUGCUGUUUCCGCCAGGGCACCCAGAGGACAGCCAGCCAGUUCUCCCGUCCAAACAUCAGACUGUCCUCCUUCUCCAGGCCUUCUCCCUCCACGCCCUCCCACAGGGAGCCCUCAAGGCCCUAAGGGCUCUGCGUGUUGCAUUUUUUGCAGAGGGACAUGCCGGCUCCAGGCAUCCCACUGGAGAGAGGCUGUGUGCUCCAGAAAACCCAGCACAGCCUGCUUCAGGAAGAGAGGAGCUCCUUCUUUUCUCUCAUGAAAGCACACCAAAGGUCGCAGCAGGCUAAGGAUAGCAGCUCCUCAGCCCUCAGGGCAGCUCCUGGAGCUCCAGCAAGGCUCUGGGUCCUGGGCUGUGGGGGCAGGGAGAGCGGAAGGCAUCAAGGGUUCCCCUCUCCCUGUACGGGGGUUCCUGGAAAUCAUGUCUCCAUGGGCCGUCUUAGAUCCUGUUGGUCCAAAUGGAGUCACGAGGCACGCCCAGCUCCAAGGGAGGCAGGGGAAGUCAGGGAUUUCAGGGUUUUUUUCCUUGUCUCUGCUGCAGAGGUCCUUCUGAGACAUAUGUGGGGUACACAAGGCUCUGAGGGGGUCACUCUCAGUGCUUACAUCUCGCUAACCUCCACUUGCUUCUGCUUUCCUUUUCCUUGGGGGAAAACAUUUCUGUUUUCCUGGAAUAUCAACAGUCCUGGUUGUGUAGCUCUCUGCUUUACAUAUGAAAGAAGUUUCAUACCAAAUACCAAAUCCCAAGUCAAAUACUCCAGUUCAAAGAGGCUCGAGUAGACAGAACCAACCCACACUACAUUUUGAAAAUAUUUUAAGUCAACUAGUUUAACUAUAAAAUCAGGUUUAAUGGCUAUUGACUCUCUCAAUAUACUGUCCUACAUAAGGAGCCCAAACCCUAGGAAAACAGCUGACCAUGUGGAGGAUGUGAAUGAUGGUUAGAUGUCCCCCAAAGGUGACAACAGACCCGUGUGCCCAUACUGAAGAGCUUACCUGCCCAGGAGAGGUGUGACCCAGCACAUCAUUUCCAGCCCCACUCUGUGACUUUAUGAUGCCCACAUAAUACCAUCUGGUACUCCCUUCAGCACUAACAAAAAAAAAACACUGCUUCAUUUGUAUCUUAUCAGCUAACCCUCGCCAUCCUUCAGUUCUUCACUAAGUCCUACACGCAAACAGCCAAGAAUUAGAGUCUUAUCCUACAUCGUUCACGGCAAAUCCUCCCAAUCCCAUCAAUGGGAAUACUUAUUAAACAGGGCUUCCCAUGAGAGCCCAGAAUGGACCAACUUGCUCUUAUUUAAUUGACUUGAUAAAUCC